ACAAUGAGAGGUCAUGGCAUUGCUUGAAACGGCUGCUUUAAGAGAGGCCAUUCUAUGAUUCUGUGACUCCAUCAAGCAAAUCCUCGAGGAAGGCAAAGUGGUUCAUUUUGCUGCCUCUUCCACAUGGAAAGAAAAGGUUUGGCUGUUAAAAACAGUGCAUGCUGCCUCCUGAACACAGCCAUCUCGGAGCCUGCAAAUCCAUCCUUCCAGUGAGGAGUUAUCUCCUGCUGAUAUAGUGUCCUGGCAUGUGUAAGGAGAAUACCAAUGGAAACAUCCUGAGGGAACUUAGUGCUGUAUCCACAUAUAGGAGGAAAGCAUCUUUGUGUCUGUGAGUGAUGGAGAAGGAGGAGAGUGGCAUAACAGCAGUCAGAAUUGCUGCAGUGACCUGCAUGGAGUCUGAGCGCUGGGAUCCUUCCCAGUAAAACUCAGCGGAUGAUAAUCUUUUGAAACAACUAGUAAUAAAUGGGGAGUAAACAAUGUUUACUUGUUAUCCAGCUGGAUCGAAAAGGGUGCCUAUCUGUGGAAUUGACUUGCUAAUUUAUGCAGUGUUAAUGUUUGGAAUCUUUUGCAUGACCUCAGAUUAUUUGGCAUCAGUUACUUAAGAUCCAAAGAUAUAAAUUCUUAUGCCUGUUGGGCUGGAAGCAGUUGAAUGCCCUUGACUUCAGAGGCUGCUGGAAAAUUUAUUAUGUUUUAGGGCCAAGCUCUUAUUUAAUCUUAGCUGGCUUGUCUGUAUAUCUUUAAAACGUUUAAAACAAUCUGAUGUAUAAAAGGCACUUGGAUUUUUUUUUCUUACAAUUAUGUAAAAGCAGAAAAUUGUGUUUCUUAUACUCUUAUACUAAGUUCCCAUGGCUUAUUUUUUAUUAAAAUGAAAUAUU
rnacentral:lncRNA from 7 species